rnacentral:tRNA from 1 species
UGUUCUUGUAGUUGAAUGACAACGAUGGUUUUUUCUUAUCA